rnacentral:rRNA from 1 species
UUUUCGGAGAGUUUGAUCCUGGCUCAGGAUUAACGCUGGCGGCGUGCAUGAGACAUGCAAGUCGAACGGACGAUCAGGGCUUGCUCUGAUCGUUAGUGGCGGACGGCUGAGUAACGCGUAGGUGACCUGCCCCGAAGUGGGGAAUAACUGCCCGAAAGGGUGGCUAAUACCGCAUG